rnacentral:rRNA from 1 species
GAAGAAGUGAAUUAAGGGCAUUUGGUGGAUGCCUUGGCAUGCACAGGCGAAGAAGGACGUGAUACGCUGCGAAAAGCCGUGGGGAGCUGCGAAUAAGCUUUGAUCCAUGGAUCUCCGAAUGGGGCAACCCACCUCAGAUAUCUAGAAAAUCUGUUUUGCUGAACUUUUUGAUCUCACGCGCCGUACCGCACUUCCUUUGGAAGUGCUGGCRCUGCGAUGGCGCGGCGGACGCCCGCCGACGGCCUAUCGGCCUGUACUGGUGCCUUGCUCGAUCUUGAGUUUGGCAGCCAUACAGCGCGGUAGCGCGUCGGCCACGUUUGGCCGCCCCGUCUGGAGCGCAGCGGCCUUUGGCCGCGACAGCGUGAAGACAAAAGAAAACCCGGCGAUGCCGGGUUCAAGGGUUCAGCGAAAGAGGUUUCUAGAUAUCGCAAUGAGGUAUCUGCACCUGAAUACAUAGGGUGUAAGAAGCGAACGCAGGGAACUGAAACAUCUAAGUACCUGCAGGAAAGGACAUCAACCGAGACUCCGCAAGUAGUGGCGAGCGAACGCGGACCAGGCCAGUGGCAAUGAUGAAUAAAGCGGAACGCUCUGGAAAGGGCGGCCAUAGAGGGUGAUAGCCCCUUACGCGUAGAACAGUCAUUGUCCUUGAGUAGGGCGGGACACGUGAAAUCCUGUCUGAACAUGGGGAGACCACUCUCCAAGCCUAAGU